AUUGAACGCUGGCGGCAUGCCUUACACAUGCAAGUCGAACGGCAGCACGGGGCAACCUGGUGGCGAGUGGCGAACGGGUGAGUAAUGCAUCGGAACGUACCUUUCAGUGGGGGAUAACGUAGCGAAAGUUACGCUAAUACCGCAUAUUCUGUGAGCAGGAAAGCAGGGGAUCGCAAGACCUUGCGCUGAUUGAGCGGCCGAGGUCAGAUUAGCUAGUUGGUGAGGUAAAGGCUCACCAAGGCGACGAUCUGUCGCGGGUCUGAGAGGAUGAUCCGCCACACGGGAACUGAGACACGGUCCAGACUCCUACGGGAGGCAGCAGGGGGGAAUUUUGGACAAUGGGGGCAACCCUGAUCCAGCCAUGCCGCGUGAGUGAAGAAGGCCUUCGGGUUGUAAAGCUCUUUCGGCCGGGAAGAAAUCGCACGGGCUAAUACCCUGUGUGGAUGACGGUACCGGAAUAAGAAGCACCGGCUAACUACGUGCCAGCCGCCGCAGUAAAAC
rnacentral:rRNA from 1 species